AUGCAUACGAGAGCACGAUCUGAGCCAUUAUUACUGGCGGGAGCGAUGUAACUUUCCCCGAGAGAAGUGGGCAAAAAAAACAAGAUCCAGUGUAACCAGUCCGCCACCUAGCUGCGGAGACGCGCCUACGGAGAUCUGUCGACUGUAUGAUUAUGAAAACACCCGCGCCAAUGUUGUUGCACACUAGGCUCUUCGCUCCGAUGAGACCGAAACUCGGUUUUAGGGGGUGUUUUAACCUCCGCCGGCCGUAGUUAUGUAAUCAAAGCAACAUCUAAUGCACCAAAAGCUCCGGAUUGCUGGUGGUGCGAAGGGGAGAGCAGGACAGCAACACCUUAACCUCCUGCCUAAAACGCAGUUGGCUCCGGGACGCGCUCUCGGCUCAAGCCCAAAGGACAACAGAGACCUUCCUUCGUUGGAUGAAGGAGCCUAACUGUACUGUUACAGACUGUUGAAGGAUCCUUUUUCAAGUCUCCUGACCUACACCUGCAGGCUGCUCUCAGCACUUGACCCCAACAACUCCUCCGGAGGCAUUUAAACGUGUUAUACUGGGAACCCCACAGUAUCCUGCUUCUCCCCCCUGACUUCUCUGAUGGACCAGAGAGUGAAGGGGGGUACCCCUCCGACUACAAACUCCACUCUGGACCCCUCCCCUGCACCUGAAGAUGCUGACCAGGACCGAGUGGCUGAAAAAGGAGGAGAGGUGAAGCGGAGAAUGGAGAUGUAGGGAAGAAGAGGAGGAGAGAGAAGAGGAGCAGGGAAAAAGAGAGAAGGAGAGAAGGGGGCAGUGCUGAGUUGCUCAUCGAGGGGCGCUGUGGAAGCGCAGGGCAGCAAACAGCUUCAGAUAUCUGGCAAAGAGACUAGCUGCCCUGAGGGGAAUGUACGACUCCGGAUUGGACUCCAGGCCAAACGCACCAAGAAACCUCCCAAGAUUUUGGAGAGCUACGUUUGCAAGCCCACCAUCAGGACCUUAUCAGAGACAGGCCAGGGGACUGCUGAGGGGGGAUGGAGAGGGAGGAUCAGGCCAGCAGAGUAAAACCAGCUCUACUCCAGACGAGGCAACCAGGGAGAAACCCUCAGGCUUGGAUGCUGUCCAGACCACAUCCAAACAAACUGCAUCUGCUGCUUCACCACCACUUGCAUCAUCAUCAUUAUCAUCGUCAUCAUCAUCUUCGUCAUCGCAGCCACUGUCUUUAUCAACAACAUAUACUACAGCUCCCACCCCAGCCUCAGUCCCUGCCAUAACCAGCCAAGGGACCAAGUCUGCCAAACAGGUUCCUAUCAAACUGGCCGAUAAGACAGAGGCGAAUUCAAAUGGUUCAUCUGAGAGAGUGAGGAAAGAGAAGCCUCCUAGCAUCAAUGGUCAACCAGUCUCUGCAGGACUCAAACCCUGCUCACCCACAACCGACCAGACAGCUUCAACAACCCCUUCCACCCCAUCCAUCCCUACGGUCUCUGCGACGGAAACCAGGAAUGAAGGAAAGACCUCCAAGAAACAUAAUGGUUUGGUGCAGACAAAGAAACAGAAGGGGCUAUCGAAUGGAAAAGGCUCUGCAGACAGCCUUGGCAAUACCCCUUCAAAAAUCAAAGCUGGAAAACACAGCAGUUCCUCCUCUGUUUCUUCCAUGGACUUGUCUACAAGACCUCCAGUUUCCACCAGCUCCUAUAAAGAACUGUCCCAUAAGAGUAGACCAGGCUCUCCUUGUUCUCCUUCGGUCACCCCUAAACCACAAUCCUCCCCCGCUGUGGAUCCCUCUUCUGCCCAAUCCCAAGAUCAGGAUCCCUGCCUACAGCCCUUACAAGAGAAAAAGAGAGAGAAAGAGAGGAAAGUGAAGAAAGAGAAACGGAAAGAGAAAAAGUCAAAGCGAGACAGAUUGGAGGCUGAAAGAGCAAAGAGUGAGAGCAGAAAGGAAGAUGGCAAAAAAAAGAAAAAAGAGAAAGGGAAAGAUGGUAAAUCAAGACAUGGUAAAGAAAAGGAUGAAAGACAUAGGGCUGAUGAUACAUGGAGGGAUGAACUAAAUACUGAAAGAGGAAAGGGUGAGAAAAAGAGUGAUAAGCUUUCCCCAGAUAGACAAAGAACUGAGGAUAAUAAUGCAAAAUGUGGUGAAACGGUUGACGGUGGUAAACUUGAUAAAACCUGUAAAGGAGUAAACGCAGGAAGACCAGAUGAGAAGGACAGGGUGGACGACAGUUGCAAACCAGUUAAACAAGCUGAGCCAGCAACAACAACAGGUGACACCAGUAAAUCAAAAGAACAAGAUGUCUCACGACAUUCAAUUGUGCCUCCAAACCACCCCUCUUCUUCUGCUCCUCCCUCUCUGCCCACUCCUCCUGCCCGUGCCCCCGCUUCUCCCCCUUCCUCCCCCCAAGAGCAGGACAGCAGACCGCUCAAGAAACGUAAAGCCAGACGGCCCAGCUGGACCAAGCUGGUGCACCGGGCUCAGAGGGCGGAAAAUCAGGAAACCCUUUCAGAUUCCCAACAUAAUCCUUUACUAAGUUUUCCCCAGAAUCCCAAGACGUCCCUUCCUGCCAAGGCCGCUAUUCAGCAGACUGAUGAGUCACACCCAGCUCCGUCUAGCGCCUUAACCAGCAUCUCCUCCCCUCUCUCUUCUGCAACCAAACCAUCAUCCCCAAAGCAGAGUCACCCCACAUCAGAUCCUAGCUCCCCUGCUUCCAGAUGCCCUGUAACCCCUUCCCGAAAAAGGGGCCGCCCUAAAUCCCACUCCUCUAUCUUAGAUGAACCUCCCCCUAGAUUGUCACCAAACGUCAUCCCAACUGAGGUGCCGCCUCUUGGGUGUGACGUUCAGAAAGCCCCUGUGCCAGAGCCAAGUCCAAUACUGCAGAGUACAACUCAGUCUAAAUCCAGCCCUAAGAAGCGUGGCCGUCCUCCCAAACGACCCCUCCCCGAGGACCAGAGUGGAAAUACACUGAAUCAAACUGAUGAUACAGACAGGAGUACAGAUUUUCAUCCUCCUGAAAAGGGAAACAGGCAGCUAAAGAUCAGGAGGCUGAUUAAUGAGAUGAAGAAAAGAAAGAAGAGGAGACUUCACAAGGUAAUGCUGUCUGGGUAUGUAGGAAAGGAGGGAAGGAGAAACGAGGCAACAGAUGGUGAGACCUCUUUAAGAAUGUGUAAAUCGAUAGAGACUACAACAGUACACACGCUCUCAGCCCUGUCCUCCUUUGGGGGUAAACUGGGCCCUCAGAUCAAUGUGAGCAAGAGAGGGACCAUCUACAUGGGAAAGAGGCGAGGACGCAAGCCUAAAGCUCAGACAGCUAACCUAAAUUCCAACUCCCAGAACUACACCCAAUCGUCUCUGUUUACCAAUCCCUCUGAAACAUCUCUCUUCUCAUCUAACCAAUCUCAGCCUCCUCCUUCUCAUCCCUUUCCCUCCCCAUCUCUCACCCACUCUAGUGGGGCCCAAAGCCCAUACAGUGAGGGAAGCGUCACAGAACCUACAUCAUCCCUACUUUUUCCUCACCCUUUCUCCCUCCCUUCUCCAUCAUCCUCCUGCACUUCCCCCCGUCCUCCCUCCUCCUCUUCCCUCUCUCCCUUUGUGAAGAAGAGUUGUCCAUGUCAGGGAAGGCAUCACUUCCCCUUUCACCAGUCUUCAUGUAAGCUGUCCUGCCCCACAACUCCACUGCAUCACACACCUGGCUCUCCUGGCCACCUAAAAGAGGCCACCCCCUCCCCGAGGAGCGAAUCGCACAGCGAAGAGACGUUGCCUAGUGACAGCGGCAUUGGAACGGAUAACAACAGCGUCUCUGAGCGAGGGGAUAUGAGGGGAGCUAGAGGCAUGCUCAGGUUGGGUCAAGGGUCAGGAAUGAUUCUAGGGGGUCAAAAACACUCCUCUUUUAUGGACCGUUCCUCUUCUGUCUCCUCACCCCUCUCUCACAUCCCUAGACACACAAACCCCAUCACCAACUCAACUACUCUGGAGCAGCACAGAGACAGACACAGGCAUAGGCGGAGGGAUUACGACUGCUCCUCUUCCUGUACUUGCUUGUGCCCGUGCCCCUGCCCAGGACACAACAAGUGCACUCAUUCGGACUAUUAUUCUUGCCUUGGGCACAAUGCACUGAAGAGACAGAAAAAUAAACAUAAGAAGAAGCACCAGCAGCUGCACAUGCAGGAUCCAGAGUUUCUGUCUGAACUAGAAGAUCUGAUCGGUCAAUUCAGCGAAGUCCAUAUCGGACGGCGAAGUUGGGCGAGGACAGGACUAGGACAGGGCUUUGAUGGGAGUGGGAAUGCUGCUGGGGGAAGGCGCCAUCACUCUUCCUCUCAUUCUCUUCGCUCCAACAUCUUCAGGAUUAAUCUGAAUGGCUUUUACUCGCCUCACCCUUCCUCUUACUCCACUAAUCCCUCCUUUUCCCCCCAGCCUUUCUACCCCUGCCAGCCAGUGCAUUGUAACAGAAAGGCAGACCGUAGGCAGUGUGGUUGUCCUUCGAAGUUCCAGGAGACCAUUGAAAAUAUGGGCUUUUACAGCAGCUAUCCCCCGGCCACAACACUUUACCACCACCUUCCCAGCUCCUACCCACUUCCAUCUCCUCACCAGUACGCCCCGCAUCAGCCCCACCACGCCCACUUCCUCCUCAACCCUGCCAGAUUCCACCGGCGCAGGAGCAGGUUGCUGAGGGAGGGGGCUUUAGGAGGAGAGGUUGAGGGAGACAUGGGAGGAGGCAGUGGAGGAAGCCCACACCUCAGCUCAGGGUUCACAUCCAGCCUCUCCUGUGGCUGUGGCAGGAGCGAACACAAACAUAAACAUAAACAUCGUCACAGGCAAUGUGAGCGAGACAUGGAUGAGGAGGAGGAGUUGAAUGAGGAUGAGGAGGAAGACGGUAUGGAGAGAGAAGGGCUUUCCAGUUCAAAGCCAAGAUCAAGAUUCAUUUUGGGGCCAGGAGAAGGAGUAAGGAAAGGGACAAGAGGAAUGGGGAGUAUGCUGUCGCCUUGGUUAUGUGAAAACGGAAAUGAUUCCUUCUCUUCUGCUGCUGCCUCAUCAUCAUCAUCUUCAACAGAGAGGUUCAAACAUACAUCCCUCACCUCACUGGGCCUGGGUUCCUCUCACCUUUCUUCAUUUGGAGGAGGCUGGGGUGGGCUGGGUCAGAGUUGGACUAAACUUGGGGGCCUUGGAGGUACAGGAUUUGGAAACUCCAGCUGGAGAUCCUUCAAUGGGGAGCGACACACAGGCAGAAUGAUUGAAUCAGACGGAGAGGACGAAGAUGGGGAGGACAUUCCACAGUCACAUCUGUACAGGACGUCCCCAUCCCCAACACACACCAACCUGUUCACAUCCGCUGCCAUGGCAACAGGGGGGCGGGGUCUGAGGAGUGGAUUGGCCAGUAGGAAUCCAGGAAGCGGAGACCGGUCAUGGAGGAGAGACGAGCCAGCUUGGACAGAGAGGAGAGAAGCAGGUUUACAAGGUGACUCAAGAAGCCGGGGGCAGCAGAAAAGUGUGCCAACACCAGACAGUGUGGAGGUGAAAAACAAAAGAAGGCCAGGACGGCCCAGGAAGCACCCACUGCCCUCCACUUUAUCUUCCCCCACGUACUCCUUUGCAGCUCCCCCCAUGUCAUCACCCGACCUCUUGCCAGGAUAUAGCCACAACAGAGAUGGGAGAGAAGUGGGAGGGAGAAGAGAAGAAAGAGGGUCAGAGAGAGAUUUAGGAGGAAACGACACAGUGCAGCAGGUGACAGAGUCAGAGCUGCAGGCCAAGAGGAAGAGAGGACGAAAGAGAAAACAUGGUGACUCUCCCUGUCAUCAGAGUGUCGCUGAGGAUAAACCAGAGUGUGACACCCCCACUGAAUGUUUUAGCCAAUCAGAUGUCGAUCAGGCUCCGUCCCAACCAGUAACCGUCCAAAGAGAGGAGAGAGCAGAUGGUCCUCCCAGGAAGAAGUUUCUGAGGGCUGGUCUUUACUCUGAUGAUUAUAAAACUACAGAUCCGCCCUCCCAAACCCAGCAGUUUUGCAAAGGGAGUAUGGAAUACACCCCAGGGGAGCAUGAGUACAGCCUUUUACCUGCUCCUAUCCAUGUUGGGAAGUACCUGAGGCUGAAGCGAAUUCAUUUCCAGUUACCCUAUGAUGUUAUGUGGCUCUGGCAAAACAACCAGCUUGAAAGACCGCCAGCUGUCCCCCUGAAAAGGAAGCGACGUUACUGCCGGGUGAAGGAGAGAACCGUACCUUCUCACCAGACAGCAGAAGAGAGCUCAAGUGACAUUACCAGCCUCUUUCCUCACCUUGACAUGGACCCGUUGACCAGCAGUGAGAGGAGCUUUGUGGUGAAACACCACGUGUUCCUUGUGAGGAACUGGGAGCUUGUGAGAGACAGACAGAUCCGAGUGAGGAUAGAGAGGGAGCGAGAGAGAGACGCAGAGGUAGAAGAGAGGGACUCGCGACGUCUUUCCUGUGAUGGAGCCAAUGGGGACGACAGCCACAUCAAGUCAGAUCAACCAGUGGGGGUGGAGGUGACGGUAAUCAGCAGUGACCCCAGCCAGCAGAGUCAGGACACCUCCAGCUUGCUCACCGCCAGCCCCUGUCCCACCAAAACCCAAAACAGACAAGAGGAGGAGGGAGAGGAAGAAAAACGAGGGGAAGAAGAGGUUUGCAGCAGAGAACAGAGGACGAAACGACUGAAUGAUUUACUUUUAACCCUGCAGCAUUCAUAAGCUAGCGGAGAGAGGUGGGACCACUCCGAGAAAAGGACGAGGCCCACCACAGAACAGAUGGACAGGAACUGAUGUCACAACAUGGCUAUUAACAGUAGCAGUGCCACAGAGAAAAAGCGAGAAAGGAGAAGAGAGCUGGACAAUUAUAGUGGCCGAAAAUGCAAGAAAGACAUCUCACACACUGACAGAUGAGUGUGUUGAACAUAGAGCUCUGAAGGGCAUCACACCAAGGAUGAAACCAUGGCAACACAUCUUUUGUCCAUGCGGCGAAGGAUGAGAGAAACAGAGAUAAACUGUCCCGGAUGAAAGAAACAGACCAGCUGAAAUGAAUUUGCACUAGUGCUGGAUGAACAAGUACACUAAAGACUGUAUGUAUGCUGAGUGGACACACUAUAAACACACACACACAUACACUUUGAUUGCUCUUACUUCAGCACCUUAAGCAAAUGUGGGAAAGACAGACAUUGGUCUGACAUUUAAAGUGGACAUAUAUGGUAUUCAGAAUUUUGGCUCUGAAGUUUCCAAGAGAUGAAGAGCUCACAAGUUGCCCGGGGGGAACAAAAAUGUAGCCUGGGCCCUAAGUAGGUCAAAAUUGAACCCUCAUUUAAUCGUUAAGCUUUCAAAGUCACAUUGCACCUUUGGGAAAUGACAUGAGGAGAAGUGAGCCAGUUUUAAAAGCUGUUGAGACAGUGUUAGGGUUUUCUUCACUUUACCAAGACAGUGUCUGCUAUGUACCAGUGAAUAGACAGGGGAGGGGGUGGGCUUAGUGAUAGGAAUGUUGGCAUCGCUGCAAGAGAAUUUCUAAUGAGGUUUUAAGAAAGAAGUUAUUUUUGAAAAAAAAAUACCGCUUGUCUGCUAAAGAAAUGGAUAAAAUAUAUUCAUGAUAGGAAUGUUUAUUGUUAACUAUUUUCAGUAUUGCUUCCUGGGGAAGGGUGGGCGGGAAGGGUAACAAAAAAAAAAAAAAGUGUUUUUGUUUACUUCAGACUGCCUUUGAGAAUGUUUCACUCUUUGCUCCAGAGCAUUGACAAUCAGAAUGUCCGGGGAGGGGUGGGGGGAGAAAGGAGAGAGGAAAGGGAAUGAAACAUGGAAGUGAUUCGCCCCAAAUGCUCUGUAGAAGUGCCAUGUUGUCUUGUGUACGUACCUAAGCGAGCUCAUGCAGUCUUUAAAAGCAAUAUCUCCCGUGAUAAGGACUAUAUAAGGACUUCCUUUGUUGUGUUUUAUUAAGUUGUGAAUAUUUGGGGAUUGGAGGUCUUUUUUUUCUGUACAGAUGCAUAGUAGAUUGUUCUCAUUUUAGGAGUAUCGGGCUUAUCCACUUAGUGGAAGUAACCAUAAGCGUUUAGUUUCUUGUGAAUGUACAUAGAGAGAGACCUGUUUUCCUUCUAUCAGCAGUAGCGUGUAAAAUUAGUGUUAUACAUGAUACUAUCCGGGAUAUACAUAAAGGUUAAUAAUCAAAUUCUUCAUUUUACUAAGAUGUUUUUAUCAAAUUAAACAGCUGACCAAUAUAUCAGACAUUUCUCUUUAAAAUUGACUAUGAUUGUAUAUGAUUUUUUUUAAUAGAAUACAUAAUUUGUCUUUUUUUAGCUGAGUGUAUGUUUGUUUUUGUUUUUAUUGGUCAGACAAUCAGUGACAGUGAAUUAGUUUUUCCAGUGUUAGAUUCCUGCUCUCUUUCAGUAGUGUGGCUUCUAAUAACAAGCCAAAGAAGUGCAAUUUCUUUGACUGUUUACAUACUGUAUGUAUAUUUUUCCUCUUUACUUUUUUAACUAAGAGCACUACAUUAUUGCCAGUGGAUGAUUAACUUUAUAGCAAAGGUACACAUAAAGAGUUAUUUAUCUAGUUUGCAUGACAUGUAACCUUUGCCUGUUGCCUCUGAUAAUGUGCAUCUGAAAAACAAAACAUCAAAAACAGUUAUAACUCAAUGCCAUAGAAUGUCAGUUCAGACUUUUUGCCUCCUAUAUCCAUAAUAAUAAAAGCAUUUUAUGUCUACCAGUACUAAACCCUGCACACUCUUUUCGCAUCAAGGCCUCCUUCUUGCUGUGUGUGCGUUGUUUUGUGAGCAAUGCUGCAGUGAUGUUAAUCAACUUGAACUAACAGUGCUAUCUAGUGGUGUUAGAUUGUAUAUCUCACACUGUGUUGUCCUCCAUAAUGACCCACAAUGGAGGACGCUAUCAAAGGAACGGGGCUAUAUGGUGGGGGAGGGCUGCAUCUUGCUCUGGAGAUUUAUUCUCCUCUCUCUGCCUUUCACAACAUCUCAGGGCAUCCUGGAAUCUUUCUAUCAGAGCAAAGAAGUGAGAGAUACAGUACUCCCCAGGAACAUAAG